GGUUCCGUAGUUCAACGGAUAGAAUAAUAGUUUCCUAAACUGUAGAUCCGGGUUCGAUUCCCGGCGGGACUACGA
rnacentral:tRNA from 1 species